UCCAUGGAGGGCAGAGGUAUAAACUCUUAGCAAACAGACAGGGCUUCACAGUGAAGUGAGAAAACACUUUGCAAGAUUCAUGGUAUGAAUUAAGCUGCUAGUUGAUUAGCUUUUGCAGCAAUUUUUCCAACCACUCAAGAAAGGCCAAUGUGUGCUACAAUAAAUCCAGAGAUCUUAGAGCUGAUGUUCCUGUAUCUUAGCCUCUUGCUUUCUAAAAUGUCAGCAGUCCUUGUAAAUCAGGAGGUUCUGCUUGGUAUUCUGGGCACUGUGCCAUGGGAGCUGGGCUGGAGGGAGCACCAUGACUGUUGCCUUUUGGCUGGAACCCUCCAGAGUUUUCUGGAGAGAGCACACUGUGUGGGAAAAGACCACCUCGAUUUGUUGCCAGGAGAUGUCACUACAGCUCAGGAGUAACUAUUUCAUCCCUUGAGACCCGUUUUUAUGGUGUCAGGGUCUCCUCUGAGUGCGGGCAGUGUGGGUGCAGUGGGGCUCGGCCCUCUGUAGCUGGAGGGGCAGCACUGAGACUGUGCAGAUCAUUAAUUGGUGUACAGACUACUAAAGAGAAGAUGUACUAACGUGUACUGAGUGUGCUGCUCCCCAAAAAGGCCCUUUCUGCAUCCCUAGGGAGUGUACAGGUGCUGUGUGAAUUUG